GAUGAAGAACGUAGCGAAAUGCGAUACGUAAUGUGAAUUGCAGAAUUCAGUGAAUCAUCGAAUCUUUGAACGCAUAUUGCGCUCUUUGGUAUUCCGAAGAGCAUGCUUGUUUGAGUAUCAGUAAACACCUCAACCUCUUCUUGAUUUUUCAAAAGGAGGGUGGACUUGAGCUAUCCCAACAACCUUUACCGGUCGGCGGGCGGCUUGAAAUGCAGGUGCAGCUGGACCUUUAUCUGAGCUAAAAGCAUAUCUAUUUAGUCCUCGUCAAACAGGAUUAUUACUUUUGCUGCAGCUAACAUAAAGGAUAAUUGUCCUCUUUGCUGACUGAUGCAGGAUUUUACGACACUUUAUGUGUUGUUCAACUCGAUCUCAAAUCAAGUAAGACUACCCGCUGAACUUAAGCAUAUCAAUAAGCGGAGGA
rnacentral:misc_RNA from 1 species